CCUCUGUUCCAUCUCUGUUCUCCCCAUCCCCAGCUGUCACAUGGCAUCAUCCUCAGAGUCCCUGCAGAUGCUGUGCUGUGGUGUGCUUAGAUCCAUCUUUCCUACGUUCUCUGUUCAAGCUAGUUGUUUAAGAGUCCAUGCUGAAGUGUCCAGCCCUGGUGCUAAUGGGAAAACUAAUUCUCUAAAACUGAUGAAAACUAUUGAGAACCCUAGGAAGGUAAAACCCAGGACCCAAAGUGAGUAUUUCAAUGACGAUGGGGAUGCUGAAAUCAGAGAACAAAGGAAUUGCUGUCAGCUUUGGCAUCUGCUGCUGUACUGUGCAAUAUGGCUACCCAUGGCUUCUCUGACAUGAUGAACUGUAUCCUUGAACUGGGAGCCCAAAUUAUCCUUUCUUCCAUAAGUUGCUUUUGUUGGAGUAUUUUUAUGAUAGCAACAGGAAAGAUGAAGACCACCCGGAUGGACAAAGAGGACCCACUACUUGGCCCCGUUCCUGGAUUAGUGGUCUUUACUCACUUUUGUGAUAAGUAGCUGGCCCCACUUACUAAAACCAGCAUCACAAACUCAAAUACUUGGCAAGAGCAACAGCCCAGGGGACUUAACAGCUGAAUCAACAAACACCCUCACUCUCCUGCUACCAUCUUAGAGCCUGUGUGUGAGCUGUGCUGAAGAUUGAUGCUACUAUGCCUAGAGAAACUGCAAAAUUUCCUGAAUAUCACAUAUAUUUCUAUUAAAAGCAUACCUGUAAUACUACUCUAUGAGGAACAGAAAUGCACAGAUCUCCAUGUCAUUAUUACAGUGGCUUCAUAACUUGAAGGAACUAAGUCAAACAUUAAGAACAGAUAUGUUUUGAGCGUUUUAAGGGGAUUUUUAUCCAGAUAACCUUUAUCAAGGGGCAGUUCCCAUGUAUGCUGAUGGCAAAUACCAACACUCAUGACGGCUUCCGAACUCUUACCUUUCAUCAACUACACCUAGGACUCAGAGCUUCCUGUCUGGAAGGAACUAGUAAGAACUGUUGGCCAGUCCUUGAGCAGAUACCUGGUCUCAUGAUAUGAUUAACUUCAGGAGUAUUGAAUUUUCCAGUCAUCCACGGACUUUCCCUUGCUCAAUAUGUGACACUGGGGAUGGGAUAAUCAGAGACUUUUGUUAUCUUAGUUUCAGGUGACCAUUCCAAGUUGAAAUGGAGAUGUCUUUGACAGGGAAAUACAUCACUUUUAAAUAUCAAUCAUUAACUGCUCAGAAUGAAACCUCUUUAUCUGGUCCUUCACUAAAAACAGGCUAUAACUGAAGGGCAAAUUAUAUAAAGGAAAAGAGCAUGGUGGUUGUUUGAGAUGGCUAAGAAACUAUGCCUAAGAGAGAACAGAGAUAGAGGGACAGAUUUGGAGGCUAAGAAUCCAUGCCCAAGAGAGAACAGAGAUAGAGGGAGAGAUUGGGAGGCUAAGAAUACAUGCCCAAGAGAGAACAGAGAUAGAGGGAGAGAUUGGGAGGCUAAGAAUCCAUGCCCAAGAGAGAACAGAGAUAGAGGAAGAGAUUGGGAGGCUGAGAAUCCAUGCCCAAGAGAGAACAGAGAUAGAAGGGAGAGAUGGGGAGGCUCAGGAAAGAAAUAAUUUUUUUUUUUUACCAAAACUACAAUUUUCUCUAAAGACUAGUAUGUUCCUAGUCUCUCAAGGAAUGGUUUGCUAUUUAAUUUUCAUUUUAUCAAAUAUUAAAUACAAAGGGAGAAUAUUGACCACUAAUUUCUAAAACAUAAAUUACUUGAAGAUAGGACAUAAUUUAAUUAACCUCAGAAUUCGAUUUUUAGUGAUUAUUCCUAAAAGAUCUAUUGGAAAUGAACAACAUAUUAGAUUAUCUAAAGAGAAGGCUAAAAGACAGGAGUCUGGUGGAACUCUGAGUUUUGAGAAUCAGUCAAUAACACACAUUUUCAUACUUUUUAGUCAUAUAUAUUUAUAUUUGGUGUGUAUGUGUCCACACAUGCAUGCAUACAUGUAUUGGAUAAGGAUGAGGAGGACAUCAGAGGUCAACAUUGUCAUCAAAGACCUAAAAGAUACAGGGAUGGAGGUUGCUAUUAGAACAUUGUUUAUUUCACCAGAAAGUGACAAGAGUUUACCACAGCCUCAGUUGCAGCUGCUGGGUCAGAUGUAGUGUCAUUGUGACAACAGAUUACUAAGACUUCCCAUCUUUGCUGUGUAGUUACUGAUUUAGCAAAUGUAUUCUUUUCCUUUAUAAUUAUAACAGAAAAUGAAAAGUUUGUGUUUAUGUGGGUUAGAAAAUAGUCACUUAAAGCUUUCCUGUGUUCCUAGACUUCUGCUAUAAUAAUACCGUCUGAAGGGGUCUGCACUAUAAGAAUAUGCUACAUAACAACACCCCAACCCACUAAACAUAUAACAUCAUACUGAAUGAAGAAUACUCCAGAUAGUGAGAAUAAACUUCAGUAAGUUUCAAGGGAUGGCCAGUUCUCUGAGGUCUUAUGAGUCCAGUGACUAUGAAUGUACUGCACUGUCUCCUACAGGACAAAUUAAGCACAAUAUUAUACAUUGUGUCACCAAAAGGAAGGAUAGGCCACUUUGAACUCUGAGAUCAAAAAUAUCUAUAUGUAGGAAAGCCACUGUUUUCCAUAUACUGAGUACUCUGAAGAUUGCCAGUUCAAGGGGAACCCCAUGCAUCUCUGUGUCAGCGCAGCAUUCCUGAAGACCCUGCAGCAUUAGAGAAGUGGAAGAUGCAGACAGAGACAAUACAGCUCACAACAAUCUUCAGCAAGAGAAGUGUGCUACCUUCAGGAGUCAAGAGUGAAGUCAUGUAAUCCACAGCUGAAAAUAAUAAGAUUGUUGGGAAAUAACUCUUGGUGUCAGUAGGUCUUGGUAGAGCAAGAGUGCUUGACCCUUGAAGAAUCAACUGAAUCUACACCCAAAACUUCCCAGUAUUUCCUGAAUUCAAUGGGAACUGCCAAGACACAAAUUGAGAUGGAAAAUUCUAUAACCACAAUUGAAUACAAACAGGUCGAGGGGGAGGGCACAAGAAAACUGCAUGUGGAGAUAGCCCAGACUUCCAGGUUAGCUCUCAGAGAUGCAUCAGAUUGUCUUUUACACAAGACAGUACAUGUUGCGAUAGAAAGGCGGGACUUAUGUACCCAGAUGGAGCAGGAAAAGAGGCUGAGCAUGAUCUGCUGUGGGUUAGCUUCAGUGGUUGUCAGCUGGAGAUGAACAGCAACUUCAUGACACAACUGUGGGCAUCCCGAGUUACAGCAGGGAGGACAGAAUUGCUUAACAAGAUCUGUGAACAGGUCGGCAGGUCAUUCUUUUCCUGGAGAGACAUGACCUCAGGUGGGAUGGAGAGCUCAAAGGUCCAGGUAGAAGAGACGUAGAAGAGAAGAAAAGAGGAAAUAGCUACAGCCAUAGAAGGGAUAUGUAGGUCAGUUACACUAAGGGCAAAGGAUUUUGUAUCACAUACUGAGGCCCACUAGGAAGUACACGUCAAAACCAACUAAGAAUCAAGGGCACACAAUGUCUCAUCUAACUGACAUUGGCUAGCCUUUUGUCACUGGCAACCUUCAGACUAGAUUGGGUAGCGUCUGAGGAAAACAGACAAGGUAAGAAAGACAUGGGCUAUACGUUGGUCGGUCUGAAAGAUGGACUUCCCUUUGCCAAGCUGGAUAACAGUUACUGAUGAUGAUGUUAAUCCAAACUGCCAGCAGUAGAGACAAACACAUUUGCCAAUACAUCACCAUUCCCCCAGAAAGCCAACUAGCCACUUAGUGACAAGUGUAUUACACUUGGUCCCUUGCCAUUUCAGUGUUAUCAGUGUCUUCACAGACAAUGGGCACCAUUUGCUUCUACUGCACUUGGAGCUUCUACUCUGCUAUACAGAAUGCCUAAUCCAUAGCAUCUAAUUCCACAGAUCCAGCCUCUGAAUUAGAGCCUUCUUCACAUGAUAGGAGAGUGGACCCAGGAUACAAUCUUCUGACCUUAAGCUGUCUUGAAACAUACAGGCAGCCUUUCCCAUUGGACAAUGAAGCAGCCUUUUAAAGGUUUCACAAAAGUGACACAUGGUGUAUUCAUGAAAAACACUCUACAAGGCACUUUGCCUCAAAUAGUGAAGAUAUAAGGAGACCAAGAAGUUGGAGGAGGUGUGGUUCUAUUUACUGUAAUUCUCAAUGAUACAUUGAUUCAUGUUUCAUGUCACACAAUCCUAGACCCUACAGGGUCUGAGGUCCUGGCAUCCAAAAGUGUCUCUCUUAACAAGAAACACCACAAAUUCCUGGAAAAUUUAAAGUUAUGGCUGCCCCUGGGGCUCUUUGAACUUCUUGUGGCCAUAUAUGAGCAAACAGAAAGAACAGUCAUUCUCCAAGCAUGCCUAACAGACCUCGAGAAGCAUAUGCAAGGAGAUGGCUUUUACACAAUAAAACAGGAAGGAAAAAUGAAAAAUUUGAAAUAACAUAUAAAAAUUGGGGGCCUCCUGGGAUGUGUAGUGAGAUGCCUAGACCAGCUGAGGAUGAGAAAGCAUAAGGUGGCCAUGGAGGAUGGAGAGGAGGAGAACAAUUGUGCUACCAUGGAAAACUGGAUCGCCAAGGGUGUAGUCCCUCUUUUGAACUUAGGCAGAUCAAGUAGACUCUACAUAAGUAAAGAUACAGCAAAUGUAAAUAUGCAAAAAGGUAGGGCAAGCUUUUGUAGACUAGAACUUACAUCUGACAAAAGUAUUAUUUUCUUGUCAUAUAAACAUUAAAUAUUAAAAAAGUGAACAACCAAUGGGUCAAAAGGAAAACAGGAUCAAGUUCAGUAAAACAGAAUGACAGCUUUAUCACAAUGCAAUAUAACCUCAAGUGUAUAUUACAGUGGGAAGAAGCCUAUCCAAAAUGCUUUCUACUGUAAUUCCAACCCCACAUGACAUACUGCCCAAACAAUGGAGACGAUACAAAGAUAACCAGUUGCUAUGGUUUUUAACAUGAAUAGGAAGACUACAGAUGAGGUUUAGGACAAUGACACUAUUCAUGAAACUACAAUGAUGGAGAUGUGCCAUUAUGAAUUUGUCUAAACUCUUAAGAUGUACAGCAUUGAGUGAUAUAACAUGCAUAAUAUGCAUAUAAUGUGCAUGUAUAUUUAAUCAAAUGUGACGAUCAUUUCCAAUUAAAAAAAUAGAAAUUGAUAGCUUUUUUAAUGUAGUCAAAUAUGUACAUACUUUAAUCCUGAUCCCUGAAUUUACAUCAGGAGAAACCACUCCAUUUCCAGGGAGCGUAGGGGCCAGGCAAAGUUGUACAGUAUUUCCAACUCUGACACUGUAUUAGUGUCCUCCUGAAGCCAUUCAGCAUGAGACUUGAGUCAGAAGUGUAAGAAUCGGCAAGAACUCAAAUAGUGUGGGUUUGCAAAUUACACGAUGGCACAGGGGCAAAGCCCUAGGAAGAUGUGGUAAGUCUAACUCAGAAGAAAUAGUAAGGUAUCAAAAUUUAAAAUAACACUGGGAAAUUAAUUAUCUUUAUGUGCAUAUGCAAAAGCCUACUAGUGAAUAUAAAGGUAGAGAAACUCCACCAAAAAAUUGCAUUGAAAAUAUAAAAUUGCAGCCAGGUGGUGUUGGUGCACACCUUAAUCCCAGCACUCGGAGGUAGAGGCAGGUGGAUCUCUGAGAUUGAGGCCAGUCUGGUCUACAGAGUGAGUUCCAAUUCAGCCAGGGUUACAUAGAGAAACCCCGUC